ensembl:rRNA 5S_rRNA 5S ribosomal RNA
GUCUAGGGCCAUACCACCCUGGACACACCCCAUCUCAUUGGAUCUGGGAAGCUAAGGAAGGCCAGGCCUGGUUAGUAUUUGGAUGGGAGAAAGUCAAACAACCAGAACAGAUA